CACUGCGGAAUGGGUCAUUAUAUAAGUUAUCGUUUAUUUGAUAAUACUUUACUACUUGGAUAACCGUGGUAAUUCUAGAGCUAAUACAUGCUAAAAAUCCCGACUUCGGAAGGGUUGUAUUUAUUAGAUUAAAAACCAAUGCCCCUCGGGGCUCUCUGGUGAAUCAUAAUAACUAGUCGAAUCGACAGGCCUUGUGCCGGCGAUGGCUCAUUCAAAUUUCUUCCCUAUCAACUUUCGAUGUUUGGGUCUUGUCCAAACAUGGUGGCAACGGGUAACGGAGGGUUAGGGCUCGACCCCGGAGAAGGAGCCUGAGAAACGGCUACUACAUCCAAGGAAGGCAGCAGGCGCGCAAAUUACCCAAUCCCGACACGGGGAGGUAGUGACAAUAAAUACUGAUACAGGGCUCUUUUGGGUCUUGUAAUCGGAAUGAGUACAAUUUAAAUCCCUUAACGAGGAACAAUUGGAGGGCAAGUCUGGUGCCAGCAGCCGCGGUAAUUCCAGCUCCAAUAGCGUAUAUUAAAGUUGUUGUGGUUAAAAAGCUCGUAGUUGAACCUUGGGCCUGGCUGGCCGGUCCGCCUCACCGCGUGCACUGGUCCGGCCGGGCCUUUCCCUCUGCGGAACCCCAUGCCCUUCACUGGGUGUGGCGGGGAAACAGG
rnacentral:rRNA from 1 species